rnacentral:sRNA from 1 species
AUGAAAAAGGGAUAGAAGCGGCAUCCUUUCUGAGGAACGAGGAAAGAUACAGCGUAUAGCCCGACCGUAA